rnacentral:lncRNA from 1 species
CCGGGAAUGAGAGAAAAGAAGCUGUGAGAAGAAGCUGAAGAGACUAUGUUAUGUCGAGAAAACUUAGUUAACUUGAAGGACAGUUAUGCUAUUUACCGUUUGCAACCGGGCGUUUGUCGGUUAGCAUAACUGCGUGUGCGGGAGAGGCCAGGACAAGGACGGACUUUGCCACGUGCUGCUGCCGAGGAGUUGGUGUUGGACCGAGCAUCGAGACGGGUUCCUGAUCGUGUUGCUGCCUCUUGGAAGAGGUUGCUUUUCAAGGAGUUUACCGUGUCCUUUUGUCCUGAUUCGGGUAGCAAUUGUGAUCAACCAUCCAUCCCAAACCCAAGACCAAGGAGGUUGUUAUCGAUUUCCGGAGAGUCCCCACUCUUAAACCCCCACUGCACGUCGAUGGUGCUGCUCCCGAGAGACUCCGAAUGAAAAGCUGGUGAGUGAGAAGCCGGUGCACGUCUCAAAAUGCCCUUCUAAUGUACACUUUUCAUUUCUAGUUUCAUAUUUCACAUAUUGUAAAUAAUGUGGAAUAUAUUGCAUUCCGUUUUGAGAUACCUCACAACCUUAAAUACAAUGGAUAACAGUUUAAAUCUUUAUUACCAGCAAGCAAUUUGCACAAAUUCGUUGGAAAAUAAACCCUGCAACACGGCCUUUAAGUAGGCAAAAGCUGGGUAAUCA